rnacentral:lncRNA from 1 species
GAUUAUUCAUUAAAAGUUUAUACAUUACUUUUUAGUUUUAAAUGAUUCCUUUGGAUGAAAUACUGUAUUGUGACGAAUCUCGGCCUUUGACUGCAAAUCCGCCAAAAGUCCGACCCCGUGUCCCCUCGAAACCAGGCCGCCUCGUUGUAUGUACAGAAAUCUGGAUUUUCACCUCCCUGGAUUCAACCUUACCGAAUUUGUGUGGCUCCAUCCAGCCACACAAAUUCCAAAAAAUAACACCAAAAACAUAAUAUUGAAAUCCUCUCCUGUGUUCUUCACCACCAUACCAAUAAACAUACAACAUUCAAAUAACAGUGUUGAUUCUCUUUUUAUUUCUACGCAAUAUCGUCUUUUCCACCAACACAACCAACUACCAGGAGAGGCUCACAUCCGCCCCCUCUCGACCA